AGAGCUCCCCAUUGAAGGGUGCAAAAUGGAAAUUCAAUAAGGAGCUCCAGUGAUUGCUUCCCCCAGAAAAAAAAAAAAACAAUUUUAACAGCUAUUCACACACCAAGCCAUUUCUACAAGAGCUGAGAAAGCCAGUAAAAUAGUGACAGAACAGCAUAAACCAACAGAGGAAGAGGACAGACACACUGCUGUGGCCACCGACACUGACAGCUACAGUUUCUGCCUCACCUGUUUCCAGAUGGGAAUGUCAUCUUGCUGAAAAAAAAGGCAUGAGUAUACAGCAAUGAACAAAAUAUACAAAAAUCCUGUCUACAUGGAGCUUAUGUUCUAGUGGAGGACAGAGACAAUAAAUACUCAUCUAGGAUGGUGGCAUAAGUUGGAUUCCUCGGAAAGAACAUGUCUAAGACCUCACUGAACAUGGAAGAGUGACCAAGUGAUGAAAAUAAGAGGACAGAAAAAGCCAGAAGCAAGUCUCAUUAUGGUAUUAGAGUAUGUAGAAUAGUGUCCAGCUUCAAGUUAGACCCACAGGACUCCUCUUAUCUCAGGUGUUCAAGGAGAUGCUGAUGAAUCAUCUGUGGAGACAGCACACUGUGAGUUACCCAAAGAGAAGACACAAUGUAGACACAAAAAGGUGAAGUUGAAAAUAAAACAUAAUUUAAGAUCGGAUCACAUUCAUUUCAGCAGAUAAGUGAAGUUUGAUUUUACCUCUUACUUCGUCUUUGAGCUGAAGAGACAGAGGUGCCUCAUCUUGGGGAGGAAGGGACAUUUCUCUGCCUCACAGAGAAGAGAGAAGCUACCCUACUUUCUUACAGUCUUUUAUGCCUAAUGCCACACUGAGGGCCAUUUUGAGGUCUAGGUGAUGGGCAGAACCUUUGUGUUUUGCAAGGAAGAGGUAGUUUGCUUUAAAAAUAUAUUUGCUGAAUUAUAAGGCUCUAAAAUUACACUGUGACUGGUGGAAGCUUUGGGUAAAUUAUACUGUAGUCUAAGAAUUUUUAUUAAUCGUUUGUUUUGUCUCUUUAAGUACAGAAGAGUGUCUAUCAAAGACAUGUUGUGACAUGACAUGACAUGACAUGACAGUACAUGACAGUUCGGUGAGUGAAUGCUCAGUAUAUAUUUGCAGAGUGAAUAGAGGAGGUGAGUUACAGCCCCCGCCCCCCUACUUUGGGAAAAGGAAGUGGGUACCUGCCUCUGAUGGCAUAUUCUAAGAUUCAGUACACUGGCCAUUGACUACACCUGACAAUCCCACAAUCCCAUUCACAGUCUCAGGUCAGUUGGGGAUUCUGCCUGAACCAAGCUGUCAAGGAACAAAAUCUGAGACUCGUUCAACCCGUGAAAGGGAAGACCAUUUCUCAGAUGGUAAAAGCAGUGUCUCAGAGAAUGAACAAGAAGGCAGAACGAGCAUCAGAAACUUGGCUUUUAGUUUGGUCAAAUAACUAGUACAUGGUGAAUAAGCCAAAAUCUUAGCCAUCAAACUAAAAGGAACUAAAAUUUAUUGGAAGAAUGAAAUUUAUACUGACUCACUGAAAACCUUUUAAUGCUGAUCUAAGAGCUUGUAUCCAAGUUGUUGAAUCCAAGCUACUUUUCUCUCAGUCAGUGUGUAUAAGUCAUGCUGUUUCCCCCCGAAGUUGCUGAGUAUCUUUGUUUCACUAAUGUGUAUGGAAGCUGCUACCUUAUAACCAACUGAAAACCUCAGUCCCUCCCAAUCCCUACAAAUGCUGUCCUAUACAUAACAAGCCUACCUGAAUCUUCCCAUGGACCACCUGCUGAAAAUAGCAUCUGGCGUGCUUUGCAUUUUCCAACCCGUAUGCUUACCCAACAUGAAUGUUGAUUAAUAACAUGCAUCUUUAAGACACAAACUCAUCAGUCUUGCUUUGCAUAUACAGCCACAAGCCGAGAACCAGCUUAUCUGGUUUCCUUAUAUCAGGGCAGCCUGCCUGUCACAGGGCAAGGUGGCGUCCUUUCCGUAUGAUUGCCAAAACGCUUAUUUAAUAGAAACUAUUUAUAAAUGUUAAUUAUAGCACUUUUUUUCCUUGAAAACCACAUGUUCAUAUUUGUUGAAAUUUUUUUCUUUUCUCUUCUUUUUGACCACAACCGGCUUAACUUACUGGAAAAAAAUAAUAUUCAUAUUUAAAGAGGUAAAUUUUCCAGCUGAAACUGAAAACACUAACUGCUUCAUCCGUGAUGAUCUGAGAAACCAGCAUUUCUCACAGAGGCCCGUUUUGCUGAGUUAACAUUUUCAUGUGUAUGUUGAAAGAAAAUUGGGUUCCAAAGAAGUAAAAGGGCCCUACAGAAGCAACCAACGCCCUGGAAACAAAAUUGCCAGGAAUGGUCAAGACCAAGCUGCCUUGCUGAAAGCCUCUGAGUGGCAGCAGAAUGUUACUAUGAGUAACGCCCCUAUGAGUAUGGCUGCACGGCCUCUCCCACCCUUCUUGGUCACCUGUGUUAAAAGGCAAGAGUGUUUUGCUUUGUUUUGUUCUGCAAACAGCACUGUGUGAUCUGGAAGACGAAAGUGCUGGAUUUAGCUUUAGAUGCACAUCAAAGACAGCCUCAAAGAGGAAAAGAAGUGAAGAAGCUGUCCCUGCUAACUGCCAAGGCUGUAUUGAAGAGAAGGAGUGGAGAGCUUAACCUUGGUCAGGCAGCCUCACGUGUUGUGUCACGCAGCUCACAGGUUCACGUAUAACACUGUCUGGGAGCAUAUCCGUUGCUUUCCUUUGCUAUGCCUCGGUCUUAGCAGACUCCCCGGGGCAAGGUUUUGUUUCCCCUAUCCUUGACUACAAGAGAACCUGAGGAGUUUCCUGCCUCACGCUAGUGUUGCAGACUGGAGGGAGCAGUAAGGAAGUCAGGCAUGUGUGUAAGAAACCCCACCUCUCCUUAACCAGAGAAUGCAUGACGUGCUGCUUUUUCUAGGGGGCACACUUGGCUUUGUUGUUUAGCAAUUGAAUAUUUUAAAUAUUUGCUUUCUUCAAGCCUAUGUUUAACCAGCUUACUUUUUUUUUUCUUUUGCAAAGAAAGCCCUGACCAUUUACACUAGGAAGCCCUGCUAACUGGGCAAAAUGUCCAUUGUCUAACACACAAACUAGCUUUGUAUCAGUGUUUCUCAACAGUGACUACAUUGACAUUUGGGAUGGUCAAGUCUUUGCUGUCAGGGCUGUCCUGUGCCUUCUAGAAUGUAUAGCAGCCUCCCUGACCUCUGACUACCAGAUGCCAGUAGCACCCUCACCACACCCGCAGUUAUGACACCUGAAAGUUUGUCCAGACAAUACCAAAUGUUCUCUGCAGGGCAAUCAGCCCCAGUUCAGAUCCACUGGUUGUAGGACUUGGGGGUAGGGAAUGGCUGGCAAGGCCAUUUUGUAAAGACCUUAGAUAAUCACUAAAUAACUGCAACACUUAAGUUAUUUUCUCUUCAUUAAACUUAUUAAAUCUCUUAACAAACCCUGAUUUGAUGGUAGCCCUGAAAACCUUGUUCUAAUGGUAAUGUGUCCUUGAACCCUUUUCUUUCCUCCUGAGUUUGCCUGCCAGUAUAGCUUAAAGAUUUUAGCUAUACCAUUACUCGUAUCAUAGGCAGCACUGCUUGAUAGAUUAUCAGACAGAUACAGUGCCGCUGAGACAAACUUCUGUCAUUGUGAUGUAAGAUCAAAAAAUAUAUCUUUCACUUUAGAAGUAUAUAAAGAAAGGCACAUGGGGUCAUUUCAAGUUAGAAAAUGGGAUAUUUUCUUUCUUCUUUUGCAAGUUCAAUUGCAAUUAUUUAUUUUUUAUUUUUUUAAUUUUUUUGACAGGCAGAGUGGACAGUGAGAGAGAGAGACAGAGAGAAAGGUCUUCCUUUGCCAUUGGUUCACCCUCCAAUGGCCACCGCAGCCGGCACACAGUGCUGAUCCAAUGGCAGGAGCCAGGUACUUAUCCUGAUCUCCCAUGGGGUGCAGGGCCCAAAUACUCGGGCCAUCCUCCACUGAACUCCCGGGCCACAGCAGAGAGCUGGCCUGGAAGAGGGCAACCGGGACAGAAUCCGGCGCCCCGACCGGGACUAGAACCCAGUGUGCCGGCGCCACAAGGCGGAGGAUUAUCCUAGUGAGCUGCGGCUCUGGCCCUCAAUUGCAAUUAGACUUUAGUUAGGAAACUCUGGAAAAGACUCUAACCAGAGUGGUUAUACAGGGUACUUGAGAUGCUGAAAAUCUAUGCUUUGAUGAUUAGGCACCUUGAUUAAGAAAUAUUCUUGGGGUCAGCAUUGUGGAUAGCGAGUAAAGCUGCUGCCUGCUGUGCUGGCAUCCAAUAUGAGCACUAGUUUUUGUCCUGGCUGCUCCACUCAUGAUCUAGCUCCCUGCUCAUGGCCUGGAAAAAGCAACAGAAGAUGGCCCAAGUGCUUGGGCUACUGCACUCACAGGGGAGACUUGGGUGAAGCUCCUGGCUCCUGGCUUUGGCCUGCCCAGCCGUAGCCAUAGGGGAGUGAAUCAGCAUGUGGAAGAUCUCUCUCCCUCUAUCUCUCCUCCUCUCUCUGUAACUCUUUCAAAUAAGUAUAUAAAUCCUUAAAAAGAGAGGGAGAGAAAUAGUCUCACUUAUUGGAAAAGUCUUUCCUACAAGCUGAAUGUGCUACUUUCAUUUUUAGAUGCUGCUUAUUAGAAAAGGACCUAGUAAAUGAGAGCAGUUAUGUUCAGAGCUAGAGAGUGAAUUUUAGAGAAAAGCAAUAGUUGUGACUCACUCACUUUCUAAACUUUUACACAUAGUCAUUUACAGUAAUUGUUUUCUUUGCAAUAUAUCUUCAUAAGUCCCCCCCCUUUCUACAGUCCUAAUUACGGGUAGCACUUUCAUGGUUAUCCUAAUUUAUGCAAUUAAAGGACUAUGACAAUGAAAACAUCUCCCCAGUUGCUUUUAUACUCUGAGGGUACCAAAUCAGAAGACCAGAUUGAAGAAGCAACUAGGGAAAAAGAUCAACAGACAGCACUCUUCAACUGUUUGCCAGGCCUCUCCUCCCAGGACUCUUGUGGAUUUAAGUGACUCAAGAGAUGGACUGAAAUGUUGAAAAUGGUUCUUUAAAGACCUCACUGAAGGCGAAUGACAAGACUCACUGAGGCCAAGCUGAUCAACAAUAUCUAAAAGUUGAUGCAUUCUAAUCAUGUAACGAUCUUGCCCUUUGGAGCUUGAUUUAUGGGCCACUGUCCCCAAGAAGAUGACCAUCAGACAGAUGACUAUCCUUUCCAUGUUGCCAGCACUGGAUCUCGUGAGAACAGCAGUGGGAAGACCUUGAUCUCGUUUUCACUUCAGUUUGACUGUGAACAGGUUGUCAGUAAAGCUACCUAUUUAUUCAUCCUUCAAGGAGAGGUAGAGCCCUCCCAUUGCAGCCUGGAAAUCUUUGUAAAAUGGAUCAAUAGAGAAUCACUGCUGUCAGCCCUGCCGUGCUCACCAUGAUGCCAGAUAUCCCAGAACCUCGCUGAGAUCUCUCAACUCUCUCUACAAUGCAUCAACCAGCAUACCAGGCAUCUCCAGGCUUGUGGUCCAGUUAUGUGACCUCAGAGAACCAGAACUCUUGCCUUAAGAGUUUCAUCUGCAAGAAAUGUUACAUGAGUGCAGAAAAAUGUCCAGCUGAACUGAGCCAUAUAAAUGCACAAAAUCUCCAGCUGACUGAGCUCACCAUGUGGGUAAUGAGCACCAUGUAUUCAUGUCUGGUGUCAUAAUUUUAUAUUUCUCCUUUGAUACUUCUCAAUAACUUACAAACUGCCCUCCUUCUAAUAUCCACUUCCAUGAGAAAACUACAGGUAUGUUUCUAGGUAAAAUGCCAUAUUUUUAUUAGUAUUUCUGUAUUUCUGAACCAUUCAGUAUGUCUAAAGAUACUGUCUUUUUAAAAUUAGUUUCCUAUUUUCUUCCACUUUAAUGUAUUUAUUUACUUAUUGAUUAGCAGAGAGAGAGAGAGAAAGACAGAGGGUUCCCAUCCCCAUUUUCAAGGGCCAGCACUGGGCCAGCCCAAAGCCAGAAACUGGGAACUGAAUCCAGUUCUCCUACAUGGUGGCAGGUUCCCAACUGCCUGAACCAUCACUGCUGCCUUCCAGGGUCUGCACGGGGAGGAAUCUGGAAUUGGGAGCAUAGCUAAGACUUGAACACAGGCACUCCACUAUGGGAUGUGGCCAUUGUAAUUGCUACACCAAACACCCACCUGUCUUCUUAGUAUCACUGAUAAAAAUGUUUGAGUGUCGUACCCUUAACCUCAACUUCCCCAUAAGCCUGUGGUUUUUCAUUGUGUGAUUUUUGUAUAGGACAGUGAUUUCUAGUAACAUAUGUCACAUUAUAGCAGAACCUAUGGUUUUUACCUGCUACUGCAACACUUGAGCCUCAUCAACAACUCAUUGUAUCCAGGUCAAAAAUCAAGACUAGAAAGUGAAAAAGACUUUUUAAAAUGUAUUUCUUAUUUCUGUACAAGGCACAUCCAUGCUAGAUACUUAAAAUUCUGGUGUUACUCCUUCCUUGGCUGUUUCCCAUGGCACAGGGUGCUUCUUUUGGGCUCUGUGGAUCCCCAGGAUGCUAUAAAUAUGCUUCAGUUGUCCUUAAACUUCCAGGAUUUAUUUGUGAACUUUUGUGUCUCUAUUUUGGAAAGAGGGAAAGCUUCCAUUUCAUCAAUUUCUCAAAGGCAAUCUCAUGCAACCACUGUUUUUUUCUUUUAUUUUCCACUCUCCAGAGUCCUCUGUGAAGGGCCACAUGGCCACGUUUCUUCAGCACAAGCACACAAUUGUGCGGCUUGGAAAUGUCUGCACAGGAGAAGCCAUGCUGGUGUGGCAAACAUGCCGCUCUGACUUAACUCCCACGUUGACUUGGAACCUGAGGGCGAGGUGUUGAGUUUUACUACAUGUGUUCUUUCCAGGAAUAUAACUGAGGCUGUCACUAUGAAACCUUACUCAUCUACCCAAGGGGAUUCAUAGACAUCUUCAAUAAUUUCCUCUAGUGGACCAUGCCUAUAGAUAACACCUGGUCAGGACAGAGGCCAGGAACCUGAAGGAAAGCUUGCAGCCCUGGAGGACAGGCUGAUGAUGAAGCAGCCAAAGCACAGAGCAAUUAAGUAACACGCUGGAGCGACUCGGGGAGCCGGCUCCCUGGGUCCCACCACUCCUCUUCUCAACCUGUGGGAACCUGCCUCCAUUGCUAGUGUCAUUGGAUUCUAACAGAACAGCCCAGGCAGCUCAUGAAACCCUACAAAGAGCCUCACCACCAGUGAAGAUGUUUCUGACACAUGGAUUGGGGUAAGGAGAUUCUGCCAUUCUCUGGGAGACUUACAAGGAUGUUCGAGGAACUGUGAGGGAGAAGAGUUUCUUCUUGGGAACUGCUAUUAAGCGCCGUGUACGGAGAGAACGUGGCCCCACACCGGAUGUUUGAUUAAACAGAUGGAAUUCCACGCAGUGGAAAGUUGUGAAGGCGGCCACCUGUAGCACAUGCACCAGCAGUGAGCAAAGUGGUGGGAAGUCAGUGAAGAGAGAGGCGGCAGGAUGACUUCUAGCUUCUAACCCUGGACCAACAAUCUGUGCUGUGAGGAGCCUUCCUGUUCAAAAUCCAGGUUCUUACCCCUCAGAACAAGUGCCGUUUUCUCUUGUGACAUGCUAAGGUUCCUAACCAUCAGAGAAAGGAGUGGGCCCAAGUAGCUGCAGCCAUAGGAAAGGCUUGAUGAGUGCCAUCACACAUCUCACCAGAAUCAGCAAGCUAUCAGCAACGGCAACCACUCACAAGGAAACCACUUCAAAAACAUAGGUCAGUGCUCGCCAGGGGGCAGGCUGACAGCAAAGCACCAGGUAGAAGAAAAAUCACUUCCAAAUAGGGCGAUGCUUAGGAAAAAAUGCUGUCAAGGAAGGGAAGCCAAAAAACUCUAUGGUCUGGGGGAAAUGCAGAAUUUAUAGAACUGGCCACCUAGGUUCCAAUCCCAGCUGGGAAAAGGCAGUUCUCUGCACCUCUGUCUUCUGGAGAAAGUGACAAUAUAGGUAUAUGUAGCUUAUAAGAUUGUUAUGUGUAUUAAGUAAAAAGAGGCGAGUUCUAAGACUUUAGGGAGACCGGUUAAAUCCCUACUUAAAAGUGAGGAAUACACACAAGCUGUUCUAAUGCUUUGACAUAGUCAUCUGCUUGGCUCCAAGUGCACACAUGAUGUCCAUGGGCCUCCCAGGCCGGGUGAGCAUGCACCUGUACAGCCAUUUAGUCCCCAUCUCAGACAGUUUCUAGAAGCCUCUCAUCUCUAGGUAUUCUUACCCCACCCCUCAUGAUAAUUCAGAUAAUCCAGAUGAAUCCUCUGAGCUGUAUCCAUUUAUGGUUAUGUUCUGCUCAUCCAGAGAAAACCAAAUGUUUUUGAAUCAUUUCUAGAUUUAGAUUCAACAAUAAUUUCAGAAUCCUCAUGUUCCAGACUUUAAUUCUCCUCACCUCCUUUUCACACUUAAUAACCACAGAACAGUAAAUACAGUAACUGUGAAAGGUUGCUAUAUACCAAGCACUGUGCUAGGCCCUUAUGUAUAAUAUCCUUCCAACAACUCAGAGACAUGUGCAUUUAUUUCUUUGUAGCAAGAACCAUCUCUUCUGAGACAGUGUCCUUAAAGAACUGGGACUCCUGUAGAAGUGGGCUUCCUGUAUGUUCCUGUUCUGCAGGCCUGAAGCUUCCCCGCUGCAGGGUCCACUUAGGCCUUCACCUUCAGAACCCCGUGAGUUAUUCUGUUCCCCAUGUACUAUGGCUGUACUUUCCAUGCAUCUCCCCAAAGUCUGGCAUGACAGAAUCCCGUUGGCCCAAUUCCAGGCCUUCCUGUCAUCACAGAGGGUCAUCUGACCCCUCUUAGCCAAGAGCUCCUAGGCAAGGCCUUGCAAAAUCCUCUUGACUCUCUUAUCCCUAACCAUGCAUUUUUCAUUCAAAUGACAUUAUUGAUUACACACCUCUCUACCACAGUUGAAUCUCUCUCUCUACCAAAUCCUUCACAUAAAAUAAUCUCUCUCAAGCUCAUCCCAAUGUUUAGAUAUCAUGGUCGAGGUGUUGACUGAGGUUCAGAGAUGUCAAAGAGCUUUACCUAAGAUGAUUCAGCUAGUUAAAGCUGGGAAAAGGACCUAGAUCUUCUGACUUCAAGUUCAGAACUUGCUAUGAUGUUCUGCUGCCUAAUCUUGUCAAUUCUUAAUUCCUCAUUCAUUUCUAGGAAUGACAGAAAGUGUCCUUUCUUAUCUCAUUUAAAUACUUAGGUGCAGGCUAAACGCCUCAUAUCAGAGCAACUAGAUUUGCUAACUAGUUUGCUGCAACUCCCUAACCUCCUGCUAAUGCAGUCCUAAGAGGCAGCAGGUGAUGGCUCAAGGAGCUGGCUUCCUGCCUCCCAAGUAGCAGACUCAAACUGAGUCCCUGGUUUCCAGCUUCAGCCCUGUUCCAGUCCUGUUGUGGGCAUUUGGGGAGUGAACCAAUGGAUAAGUGCUUUCUCUUUUUGCUCCUUUCUCCCCAUCCCCCUCCAUCACUUUGCCUCUCAAAAGAAUAAAUGGAAUUUUUCUUUAACAAAAAUUAAUUAAUGGGGGCCAGCACUGUGGUGUAGCAGAUUAAGCACUGCCUGCAUCCCCAGCAUCCCAUGUGGGCACC